UUGAUUCUUGAGUGAGAGAACAGGAAAAGGACACUGCGCUUUUCCCCUAGAUCCUCAGGGUGGCUGAAUAUACAUAUGGAAUACGCUGUAGGAGGAGUUAUGAAUAUCUGUGAGGGGAGCAACACCCAGUGUGCAGUUAGCUUCAUGCCUCUUCAUGGGUCACGUGUUCAAAAAAUGUUGGGGUUAGCGUGAUCGGAGGAUGUGGUUUUCCUCCCUCUGACGUCAAAAGGUGAAGCAGAGGACACGAGAACCCUCACUGCACCGCCUCUGGAGACGGCCACGGCCACUGCAGGCUCUGUGGUCUCUUACCAGGAAGGGAAGCAUUGCCUGGCCGUGGCCUCAGAUGAUUGGCUAAAGGCAAUAGAAGAGUGAGAUGUCUGUUCUUUUUUUCUAGAGCUGGUUUCUGUUUAUUCUUUAGGAAGGCAUUCCAGUGAAAGGGU
rnacentral:lncRNA from 1 species